AGCACGAUGGCCGAGUGGUUAAGGCGUUAGACUUAAGAUCUAAUGGAUAAAUUUCCGCGUGGGUUCGAUCUCCACCCGUUCUA
rnacentral:tRNA from 1 species